rfam:Salmonella enterica subsp. enterica serovar Typhi strain TY2 StyR-143, complete sequence.
AUUCUUACUCAAAAAGACAAGGGAGGAAUGCCGCAAGAAACCAAAGAAAAUCAUGGGUUUCAUUAAACUUCAUUAUUGAAGAGGUUUAAUAAAGCUGGUUCUAUAGGUGCGCGCCUGCUCGUCUUUCAUUGUGCCAGCUUUUCU